GGGAGAUCAGGGGCCGAGAACCGGGCACUCCGACUCUGAAAGGUCAAGUUAGUGAGAAGGAAUCCACAAAGGAAACUGGAAAACACGAGGCUAGUGAGGUUGCUUAAAGAAGUGAUGUCUGAGCUCAGAGUGCCUGAUUCUUUGCCUCCCAGUUACACACAGGCUGGUGUCUGUCCCCACAGCUCCUUGAAAACGGCUGAAACUAUUCUGGCAAAGACAUCCGGGUUACUAUGCUGCACCCCUGGAGGUAGACCGGGACCAGCCCGUGGAGCCAAUACCAACUUACCAAAGAGCGGUCCUGGAUGUCCACCUGGCCUUGGCUACUAGCGUUACGAGGGAAUCGGGCAACAGCAGCCCGAAACCCCAG